rnacentral:rRNA from 1 species
AUGAACGCUAGCUACAGGCUUAACACAUGCAAGUCGAGGGGCAGCAUGGUCUUAGCUUGCUAAGGCCGAUGGCGACCGGCGCACGGGUGAGUAACGCGUAUCCAACCUGCCUUACACUCUUGGACAGCCUUCUGAAAGGGAGAUUAAUACAAGAUGUUAUCAUGAGUAAGCAUUUUCGCAUGAUUAAAGGUUUACCGGUGUAAGAUGGGGAUGCGUUCCAUUAGAUAGUAGGCGGGGUAACGGCCCACCUAGUCUUCGAUGGAUAGGGGUUCUGAGAGGAAGGUCCCCCACAUUGGAACUGAGACACGGUCCAAACUCCUACGGGAGGCAGCAGUGAGGAAUAUUGGUCAAUGGACGAGAGUCUGAACCAGCCAAGUAGCGUGAAGGAUGAAGGUUCUAUGGAUUGUAAACUUCUUUUAUACGGGAAUAAACGGAUCCACGUGUGGAUUUUUGCAUGUACCGUAUGAAUAAGGAUCGGCUAACUCCGUGCCAGCAGCCGCGGUAAUACGGAGGAUCCGAGCGUUAUCCGGAUUUAUUGGGUUUAAAGGGAGCGUAGAUGGGUUGUUAAGUCAGUUGUGAAAGUUUGCGGCUCAACCGUAAAAUUGCAAUUGAUACUGGCAGUCUUGAGUACAGUUGAGGUAGGCGGAAUUCGUGGUGUAGCGGUGAAAUGCUUAGAUAUCACGAAGAACUCCGAUUGCGAAGGCAGCUUACUAACCUGUAACUGACAUUGAUGCUCGAAAGUGUGGGUAUCAAACAGGAUUAGAUACCCUGGUAGUCCACACGGUAAACGAUGAAUACUCGCUGUAGGCGAUAUACAGUCUGCGGCCAAGCGAAAGCAUUAAGUAUUCCACCUGGGGAGUACGCCGGCAACGGUGAAACUCAAAGGAAUUGACGGGGGCCCGCACAAGCGGAGGAACAUGUGGUUUAAUUCGAUGAUACGCGAGGAACCUUACCCGGGCUUAAAUUGCAGAUGAAUUACGGUGAAAGCCGUAAGCCGCAAGGCAUCUGUGAAGGUGCUGCAUGGUUGUCGUCAGCUCGUGCCGUGAGGUGUCGGCUUAAGUGCCAUAACGAGCGCAACCCUUGCCGAUAGUUACUAACAGGUUAUGCUGAGGACUCUGUCGGGACUGCCAUCGUAAGAUGUGAGGAAGGUGGGGAUGACGUCAAAUCAGCACGGCCCUUACGUCCGGGGCUACACACGUGUUACAAUGGGGGGUACAGAGGGCUGCUACCACGCAAGUGGAUGCCAAUCCCAAAAACCUCUCUCAGUUCGGAUUGAAGUCUGCAACCCGACUUCAUGAAGCUGGAUUCGCUAGUAAUCGCGCAUCAGCCACGGCGCGGUGAAUACGUUCCCGGGCCUUGUACACACCGCCCGUCAAGCCAUGGGAGCCGGGGGUACCUGAAGUGCGUAACCGCAAGGAGCGCCCUAGGGUAAAACUGGUGACUGGGGCU